AUUGAACGCUGGCGGCGGGCCUAACACAUGCAAGUCGAGCGGAUGAAGGGAGCUUGCUCCUGGAUUCAGCGGCGGACGGGUGAGUAAUGCCUAGGAAUCUGCCUGGUAGUGGGGGAUAACGUCCGGAAACGGGCGCUAAUACCGCAUACGUCCUGAGGGAGAAAGUGGGGGAUCUUCGGACCUCACGCUAUCAGAUGAGCCUAGGUCGGAUUAGCUAGUUGGUGGGGUAAAGGCCUACCAAGGCGACGAUCCGUAACUGGUCUGAGAGGAUGAUCAGUCACACUGGAACUGAGAAACGGUCCAGACUCCUACGGGAGGCAGCAGUGGGGAAUAUUGGACAAGGGGCGAAAGCCUGAUCCAGCCAUGCCGCGUGUGUGAAGAAGGUCUUCGGAUUGUAAAGCACUUUAAGUUGGGAGGAAGGGCAGUAAGUUAAUACCUUGCUGUUUUGACGUUACCAACAGAAUAAGCACCGGCUAACGUCG
rnacentral:rRNA from 1 species